rnacentral:lncRNA from 13 species
AUGGGAAAAAGCAAUUCAAUUCUAAAUGAGCAAGCCUUCAACACAGAUGCAAGAUCAUACUUGCAGAAUUUCAGAUGGCAUGGAGGACUUGUCAACACCAAAUUUUCAUGGACUUACCCUUCCUAUGUCAAAGGUACUGCAAUCACAUCUCAUGGAGCAGAGUGGAAAGUUAAUUGGCUGUGCCAGUCUGUCAAGAAGAUGCAUGUUAAAGCUCUUGCGGGAUUGAAGGGUGAGGCCCUCAGGUCUUUCCAAGUCAAUUGCUGUUAUUGGCCAGUUACACUCCAGGGCCAAUUAGCACAUUCCUUGUACGACAUUCAUUUCUUUCUAAAAGGCUUUCCUGUCUCACUCUGCCAUUUUGAUUAUUAUUCUAGACCCCUUGGUCCUUAUGCAGAAUUGUUGGGUUUUAUUGUAUUUAGUGACAACAUCUUCUUUCUAUAAAAAAUGAAAGAUCAUUACAGAAAUUCCUUUGGUGUCCCAAAUACUUCCUACUAGAAGGAGCUGAUCCUCAGGAGCCUGGCAGUUAAGUACAUGUAUAGAUGGAGCAAAAAUGACUUAUCUUGGAGUCCCGUUGGUCCAUUCACAUGACAUACAGGAAUGUGUCUUUACUUAGUAUGCAACAUGAGCUGGUAACAGAGCAUGGGCUCUGAAUUUUCUACACACUUGUGUGUACCUUCUGACACCAAGUUUUAUUAGUUUUAGGACCUCUAUAGUUACUUGUCUCACUUGAUCUCAAAACUCUCUGAUGAAAAAAGAAGGUAAAGAAAUAAAUGGAAAGAAGAAGGAAGGAAAGAAAGAAGG